rnacentral:rRNA from 1 species
UACGUAGGGUGCGAGCGUUAAUCGGAAUUACUGGGCGUAAAGCGUGCGCAGGCGGUUCGUUAAGUCAGCUGUGAAAGCCCCGGGCUCAACCUGGGAACUGCAUUGGUGACUGGCAGGCUAGAGUAUGGCAGAGGGGGGUAGAAUUCCACGUGUAGCAGUGAAAUGCGUAGAGAUGUGGAGGAAUGCCGAUGGCGAAGGCAGCCCCCUGGGCCAAUACUGACGCUCAUGCACGAAAGCGUGGGGAGCAAACAGG